AAAAAUUCAAAUAUAAAAUAUCAUAGAAAGCAUGAAGUUUGUUCUUUUAUUUCCUUUGUUUGAUUACAUCUUCUUAUAGGUAUCUAAAAAAGUGGCAGAUUUAAUCCUUGAAAAACAGCCUGCUUAUGUAAAGGAACUUGAAAGAGUUACCUCAUUGCAGACAGGUCUUCAAUUAGCUGCUGUUAUCUGUACAAAUGGGAGAAGACACUUGAAUAUUGCAAAGGAAGGUUUUACUCAAGCUAGUUUAGGCCUUCUUGCAAAUCAAAGGAAACGUCAGUUGCUGAUUGGACUUCUGAAAUCUCUGAGAACUAUAAAAACAUUGCAAAGAACAGAUGUACGGUUAAGUGAAAUGCUGGAGGAGGAAGAUUAUCCAGGAGCUAU
rnacentral:lncRNA from 1 species